rfam:Canis lupus familiaris chromosome 5, whole genome shotgun sequence.
AGCUCUGCGCAGUAGCAGUAUUGUAGCCAGUGAGGGUUAUCCGAGGCACGAUUAUUGCUAAUUGAAAAUUACAUAUGCAGAUGAAAAAAAAGUUGUGGGAGAAUAUACACCACAGUAUUAAUAUGAUCACUUCUCUGAGU